CCUACGGGAGGCAGCAGUGGGGAAUUUUGGACAAUGGGCGCAAGCCUGAUCCAGCAAUGCCGCGUGCAGGAUGAAGGCCUUCGGGUUGUAAACUGCUUUUGUACGGAACGAAACGGCGAGCUCUAAUAAAGUUCGCUAAUGACGGUACCGUAAGAAUAAGCACCGGCUAACUACGUGCCAGCAGCCGCGGUAAUACGUAGGGUGCAAGCGUUAAUCGGAAUUACUGGGCGUAAAGCGUGCGCAGGCGGUGAUGUAAGACAGAUGUGAAAUCCCCGGGCUCAACCUGGGACCUGCAUUUGUGACUGCAUCGCUAGAGUACGGUAGAGGGGGAUGGAAUUCCGCGUGUAGCAGUGAAAUGCGUAGAUAUGCGGAGGAACACCGAUGGCGAAGGCAAUCCCCUGGACCUGUACUGACGCUCAUGCACGAAAGCGUGGGGAGCAAACAGGAUUAGAUACCCUGGUAGUCCACGCCCUAAACGAUGUCAACUGGUUGUUGGGUCUUCACUGACUCAGUAACGAAGCUAACGCGUGAAGUUGACCGCCUGGGGAGUACGGCCGCGAAGGUUGAAACGUCAAAUGAAAUUGACGGNGUGAGAGNGCGACGGACGACGACGAGGGAGGAGG
rnacentral:rRNA from 1 species